GGGCGGUCUCCUCCUAAAGAGUAACGGAGGAGCACGAAGGUUGGCUAAUCCUGGUCGGACAUCAGGAGGUUAGUGCAAUGGCAUAAGCCAGCUUGACUGCGAGCGUGACGGCGCGAGCAGGUGCGAAAGCAGGUCAUAGUGAUCCGGUGGUUCUGAAUGGAAGGGCCAUCGCUCAACGGAUAAAAGGUACUCCGGGGAUAACAGGCUGAUACCGCCCAAGAGUUCAUAUCGACGGCGGUGUUUGGCACCUCGAUGUCGGCUCAUCACAUCCUGGGGCUGAAGUAGGUCCCAAGGGUAUGGCUGUUCGCCAUUUAAAGUGGUACGCGAGCUGGGUUUAGAACGUCGUGAGACAGUUCGGUCCCUAUCUGCCGUGGGCGCUGGAGAACUGAGGGGGGCUGCUCCUAGUACGAGAGGACCGGAGUGGACGCAUCACUGGUGUUCGGGUUGUCAUGCCAAUGGCACUGCCCGGUAGCUAAAUGCGGAAGAGAUAAGUGCUGAAAGCAUCUAAGCACGAAACUUGCCCCGAGAUGAGUUCUCCCUGACUCCUUGAGAGUCCUGAAGGAACGUUGAAGACGACGACGUUGAUAGGCCGGGUGUGUAAGCGCAGCGAUGCGUUGAGCUAACCGGUACUAAUGAACCGUGAGGCUUAACCUUACAACGCCGAAG
rnacentral:rRNA from 1 species